rnacentral:lncRNA from 1 species
CUCUCGAAAAUGGAAACCUCCAAGAAUAGAAACUUCCAACUUUAGAAACUUUAGUUGCCAAUUCCGACUUCUUUGUUCUUCACUUUCAUUUCUUCAUUUCUUACGCUCCCUUGACCUUCAAACUCGUCCAUUCCUUGUGCUCCAGCAUGUACUUUUCAAUCCAGCUCACUUUUGCUCUAAAAACUCCAAUUUGCCAACUUUUAUGUUAUGCCCUUUGAACCUGAAAACGCAUGAAAGUAGCUCAAAAGACUAACUUUAACUAAGAAAAAUAACGAAAAAUGCAUAAGAACUAGCUAACUAAGGUGCAUAAAUAUGCUCCUAUCAAAUUCCCCACACUUAGCUUUUUUGCUAGUCCUCGAGCAAAACAAAGAAACAAAACAACAACACAACGAAACAAAGCAAACAAAAACAACCUAAACCUUCCAACGUUUGCCUCAGGGAUUUCCAAUGCACAUGACAUAUUAAAAAUCAUCAUUCCCACAGAUUUUAGCCAUCUUUACACUUAAGCACAUACUUAAUUAUAGUCACCACGUACUAGUUCACAUUUAACCAAUUAAAACAUGAUUUUGAGUGCAGUAACAUGCCUUAGAGAAUUUGCUCAAUUCCUCACUAGAUAUGCACUCAAUUUUCACACAGAUUUUCUGACUACACACCCUAUACUAGUUAUAUGUGAGAGAUUGAUGUGAAAUAUAAAAACGAGUUACUCACAUAUGUUUAUAACAAGGAAAGCUUUUUCUGAAUUAAUAAGCAUGUAUAUGAUCUCAUGAAAGGAAUGCUACUACUUAGACGCGAGAACCAGUGACACCAUAUGCUCAUACCAAUCCCAAACUCCACAAAUUGAAAUACACAACACUCAAGAUAGAAGUUAAGGGUUGUAACGGGGCUCGGGGGUAUUGGCUAACAAAGAAAGGUGAAGGAUAAACAAACGUUCUUAAAACAAUAGUAAGCAAAGCAAUGAAAUUGACACUUAGAAUUCACUUUUGAAUGCAAAAAUCAACUUUUAAACUCAAAGGGGAAAUUCAUGUAACACUUAGGGUCAAAUUCAAUGUUUUGGACCCUUUCUUCAACAACCAACACCUUAGAGCUUAUUUUCAUGCUCUUUCACUCUUUUCCACACUUUUCACAACAUUUUUCUUUUUUUCUUCUUUUUUUCUACGAAAUUUUUUUUUUUUCUUUUCUUUCUCUUUUCUACCCCAUGCCUCAUUUAAGACUUUGGCACACAAUACACAAGGCUCACUUUCCCCCACACUUGUUUUCUGCACACCCUCGAUCAAAAGGAAUUCAUUUUAAGUCAUGCUUACUAUGCUUCAAGAACAAGGGUAUGGAUGGUCCUAAUCUAGGCUAGGUAAGGAUAAUGUGGGUUAACAACAAUAUAGGCUAACAUAAGGCUCAACGGGGUUAAACCUACAAAAAACAAAUGUAUGGAAUGAAGGCUUUUGGCUAUGGUGGUCACUACUAAACAACUUCAUUCUUGAAUAUGUGUUAUUGCAAUUCAAUAACAUGUUUUUGAAUGAAAUUGGGCAUGAGUUGUAGCAUUUGGAACUAAAAGUGAUGAAACGCCUUCUAAGUAGUAACCAAGCAAAGAAUAAUGAGAUCAUGCAACGACUUUAGAAAACAAGAAUGCACAGAUUUUAACUCUCCAAAUAAAGUUUAGGCUCAAAUCUCUCAGGGAUGUAGCGUUAGUUUGAGUUCCUUCCUUCAAGCAUGUUACAAAAACUAAUUUUUUUCCUUUAUGAUUACAUGUGAAUUCAUAAGUUAUAACCACAACCAAGCAUAAACCAAAGAGUAAAUCAAACUUUCAUCCAUGUUUAUAACUCUCUUUAACAGUCAUGCAAUUAAAAACCGAAUCCUCAUCAUUGUGUUGGAAGGUACCCUAAGACACAAACAAACACACAAAAACAACUUAAAAACGACUCUUUUUGGGUUUUAUAAAACAAUUUUUUCAAAUUUUUAUGGGAUUUUCGGAUUUUGAAUCAAAACACAUUAAAACACACCAAAAACAGCCUAAAAACACCUAAAAACAGCAAGAAACAACAUUGGAAGUUAUGAGUGAGAAAACCCUACGAAUUUGCAUCAAAACACUUUGGUUUCCCCCCCACACUUAAAUCAAACAUUGUCCUCAAUGUUUCAAGCAUUAGAACUCACACAAAAACACAAUAAACAAAACAAAACAAACACUAACAAACGAAACAUGGCAGAAACGAAAUAAACAACAAAAGAAGGGUUUAGGAACGCAAAUCUGGAAUUGGAGUGCUCUCUAGGUCUUCCUUUGUCGAAUGCAUGGGUUGCCUCCCAAGAAGCGCUUGCUUUAACGUCUUCCAGCCGGACGGUACCUCCGUUUAAGCUUGACUAGGUUCCAUGACAUGGAGGGGUACAUCCUCCAUGACAUGCUCCUUGAAAUACUCAUGCAUUGGGUCUAUGUAUGGCAGUGGAUAAUGAUGGUCCCAGAUUGUGGCAUUGAGCUUCCCAAGGUCAAAGUAAGAACUCCCAUAAUCAUGGAUUCGAUUUGGUACCUGCACUACAGAAGGCAAUAACCUAUUAGUGGAAAUGGGAAUUGGAAUUAGAGGAGGAGGCUUACCAAUGCAUGUAGAUGAAGACUCAAAAGGGGCAGCAAAGGUGGUGCUCUCGGCCAGAUUUGGUAUUUUGGGUAUAAUGACAUGUUUCGUAUGCUCCACUCCAAUACCCUAUUCGAUGAUGCAUCUAGGGACAUCCUUCUUGAUUGGUGCGCAUGAAUGUCCUUCCCCACAUUUUUAAUCACAUCUAUUGCAAAACAGAAACGAACAUCAUUAGGAUUCUUAACAUAGUCAGGAACUUAGAAUUAAUCAAUUCAUCACCAAACUCCAUUGUUAAACUCUCCCUUAGCCAUCAAUCUUGGUUGGGCUGUCUUUCAUGAAGGGCCUCCCUAAUAGUAUCGGCAAUGAGGUAGAAUAGGGUGAAUCCUCCAUGUCAAGCACGUAAAAGUCCGCUGGAAAAAUCAAGUUGCCCACCUGCACCAAAACAUCUUCCAAAACACCCUUUGGAUAUGCAUUAGAACGAUCGGCUAAUUGAAUAAUCACACCAUCGUUUUUAAGCUCACCUAAGUUCAUAGAUGCAUAAAUAGAGUAUGGCAUAACAUAAAUCGAAGCCCCUAAGUCUAACAUGCAUUGUUCAAACUUAGUCUUGCCAAUAACGCACGGAAUUGUAAAACUACCCGGAUCUUUGCAUUUAGGGGGUAAUUUCCUUUGUAACAUGGCAGAAACAUUCUCACUUACUUGGACUACCUCUUUGUUCGAAAUCCUUCUCCUUGAUGUACAAAGUUCUUUUAAGAACUUAGCAUACCUCGGGACUUGCUUAAUCGCAUCAAGGAGCGGGAUAUUGACUUGAACUUUCCGAAAGGUCUCUAGAAUGUCCUUCUCGGCAUCUUCCUUCUUUGAUUGCCUAAACCUGCCAGGAAAGGGCACAUUCAGUGGAAUAGAACUAGAAAAAGUCGAAUUUGGACUUACCUUGGUGGUUGAGGACGAUUUAUGAGGGUUAGAGGGUGGCGGCAAGGAUUGGUCAUCCUUGGCCGUGGGCUUUGCUCCUUGUGCUUCCUCUUGUAGCACUUUUUUAUCCUCAUCGUGACUUGAUUUGGAUGAUUUUGGUUCGGCUCCAACCUGUGUACCACUUCUCAACAUGAUUGCAUUGACGGUUUCAAAGCCUCCUUUAGGAUUCAUAAUAGUUGAACUAGGCAAUUUGCCUUGUUCUCUAAUCUGCCCCCAUGAAUUCCGCUAUUUGCCCCACUUGCUUUUCCAAGUUAUCCACCCUUUUGUCUUGGAUUUGCCUCUCUUUGUUUUGAUUUUGUACUUCCUGCGUCAAAGUAGUAAGUAACUUAACAAUCUGAUCAUUAUCCGAAGACAUACCUGAGUUUGUUGGGGCAGAUUGCAAUUGGGUUUGAUUAGGGACGGAUGGCUUUGUAUAAAAGCCCGGUGGUUGCUGCCUAAAUCCUCCUUGUUGUUGGGGUUGUUGAGGAUCCCGCCAUUUGAAAUUCGGAUGGUCCCUCCACCCCGGAUUGUAGGAAUUAGAGUAUGGAUCAUGGCGUGGUUGAUUUUGGUUCCCAAAACCCACGGCAUUGGCAGCUUCCCAACCCCCAUUCUCAAUCAAUUGAGGGCAUUGAUCGUUGGCAUGUCCUUGCAUCGAGCACACGCCACACACACUUGGUCCAUGAAUCUUCAUUCCCUCGGCCAACUGAGACACAAUAGAAGUAAGGUUAGCUAAUUGGGAUUGAAUCUCGGGCAUAGAACUUACCUCAUUCACUUGUGGCCGUGGGGGGUCCCUUUGUCCAACACCUUCGUAUUGUUGUGCAUUAUGUGCUCGGUUGGCAAUUAGAACUUUUGCAGCCCCCGGAGUCUUAUCCACCAACGCUCCUCCCGCCGAGGCAUCAAGCAUUUGGCGUUCCAUGGGAAGGAGUCGUUCGUAGAAGUAUUGAAUGAGUAGCUCCUCCUUCAUUUGAUGCUGUGGACAAGAAGCAACAAGUGAUUUAAAACGUUCAUAAUAAGAAGGAAACGAUUCACCUGGGUUUUGUUGGAUGCCACUAAUCCGCUUCCUCAAGAGAAUGACUCUUGAAGUUGGGAAAAACUUCUCCAAGAACGCUCUUUUCAUACUAUCCAAGAUGUAACCGUUCCGGGUGCUAACUCGUAAAGCCAAUCUUUCGCCUUUUCCAAAAGUGAGAAUGGAAAGUCCUUCAUCAUCAGAAUACUCCCGUCAACAUUGAUGGGUGUCAUGCUCGAACAAACAACCUCGAACUCCUUGAGAUGCUUGUUGGGAUCUUCCAUGGAAAGCCCAUGGUAUUUCGGAAUGUUGUGCAACAAGCUUGACUUCAGCUCGAAUUCAUCGGUCUUGCCUUGGGCAGCCGCGGGGUAUUGAAUACAUAAUGGUGCGGCAUUGGUCAACCUCGAGGCCGAAAGCUCUUUAAUGGUCCGAUUGUCCGCUGCCAUAACUUCUUCUUCCACUUCUUCAAACUCAGAUUCGGCCUCUGAACUUGAACUAGGUUCACUAGGUUCGGGAUGCUUCCUCUUUCUUCUCAAAUCACGUUCAAAAUCGUCGUUGAAAUCCAAGAUGUGUGCAUGCACAGUUUGAGAACUCCGCGCCAUGCACUAGUACCUAAACCAAGAAAACAAAACAAAAUAGGAAAACUAGGUAAAUUAUACUAAAGACACACGGCAAAACACAAGGGAUUAGCAAUUUUGCUAAUCCCCGGCAACGGCGCCAAAAUUUGAUGUGUAAAUUAACUUGACACACAAAUUAAACCCUAUGGAUGACAAUUGUAGUAUAUGAGCAAAUAGGGAUCGUUCUAACCGGGGAUUAACUAGGGAUGCUAAUCAAUGUAAAACUGACUCAAGAACAUAAAAAUAUAAUGUAGAACACUAAACUAGACUCAAUUAAUGCAAAACUAGGGUUUAAAACACCUAAACAAACUAAAAACUCAAAACAGCAACUAAAAGGCUCAAAACUGCCUUAAAACCACUUUCUGGGCAGUUUUGAGUACCUAACACUAGUUUGGACGAAUUUGGACUAUGACUUGACUCAAAACACUUAAAAACACAACUAAAUGGAUUUCUAACUAAUCUAACACUUUAAAAAUAAAUGGGGGAAUGAUUUUGACGAAAUUAAAACUUUAAAACUCAAACUUUAAAAACAAAUGUAAAGCAAAACAGAUUGUGAUUAAAUAGAAUGGUGAGAAGCUAGUUAGAGGAUUCCUUAUCCACACAUGAACAUAUGCAUACAACUCAAUCUCCAAUUACUCUUUCAACAAACCAUGAAUGACAAUGCCCCAAAUUAACUAGAUUGCACCAAUUAAUUCUCAGAUUUCCCUAGAUUCAUUGAAUUGAAUGGAAUACGCAUUACCAACCAAAUUAUUCUUAUCAAGGACCCUAACUAUGGAAUACGCAUGAUAGAGACACAUAUCAAAGAUCAUUAAGUUCAAUGGACAUCAUAAGCAUUGACGAGGCAUUCAUAACUAUGGGAUACGCAUGUUACUCUUGCCUAGGAUUUACUUAACACAAUCGUGACUAGCGACUUUCACUACUUAUGAAUAUAAGUUAAUAACGAUUAGGUGAAAUUCCCUUAUAUCCUAGCAUCAAGUUUAGGCAUGCAAAUUAAGUGUCGACCCUCAACCCACAUACAUAAACAAGUUAUCAAUCAAAUAGAUAAGUAAAUCACAUUCACAAUUUCUGAAAUCAUAAUUGGAAGAAAUCAAAUCAUAUAAAACAUAUGUCCAUGGCUUCAAAUUCACCUCUAACUAAAAAGAAAUUAGUUCCACAUGUAUAACAUAAUUGAACAACAAUUUAAAUUAAACAUGAAAACAGAAACAAAGAAAGAAAGAACUCCAAACACUCCACUAAUGGCAGAUUGCAUGUGCAAGGUGUCUUCCUCCUUUGGGCUGCACGGCACUCCUUCUUCCUCCUCCAAUGGUGGCUGCACAAGGUGGUGAUGGUGGUGGGAAGGCACGGCAAGGGUGAAUUGUGACAGAAAUACGGGAGUUUGGGGGUGGAAGGUUGCGGCAAGGAGAGAACUAGGGUUUUUGGCGUGAAUGAAUGAUAUGGGGGGUGGUAGGUUCGGCCAAAGGGUUUAAAGGAGUAUAUAUAGGCACUUCAAACCCUAGCAAUCAGAUUAGGGUUAGAGAUGGGCCUUCUAGAAUGCCUUGCAAGGCAAGGAAAUCAGGUAUUUUGGGGCCCUAGGUGCGGCAGAGAUUAGGGAAAUCAGAUUUGGAAAUGGGCUAGGGUUUAGGUGCGGCAUUAAGUGAGGAUCCAAGAUGAAUUGGGCUAGGAGGGUGCGGCCUUGUCCAAGAGGUAGGGAUGGGUCGUCUAGAAGCCCAAAGCCAAGAAUAGAAACUCUCGAAAUGGAAACCUCCAAGAAUAGAAACUUCCAACUUUAGAAACUUUAGUUGCCACUUCCGACUUCUUUGUUCUUCACUUUCAUUUCUUCAUUUCUUACGCUCCCUUGACCUUCAAACUCGUCCAUUCCUUGUGCUCCAAGCAUGUACUUUUCAAUCCAAGCUCACUUUUGCUCUAAAAACUCCAAUUUGCCAACUUUUAUGUAUUAUGCCCUUUGAACCUGAAAACGCAUGAAAGUAGCUCAAAAGACUACUUUAACUAAGAAAACAUAACGAAAAUGCAUAAGAACUAGCUAACUAAGGUGCAUAAAUAUGCUCCUAUCAAGCAUGCAAGUGGUGCAAGUGGUGUGUGUGAAAGGGAAUUAAUCCUUACACACCCACCAAUAAAUCCAUCACCUUUCUAAACAAAUAUCUAAUACAUUUAAACAUAUGAAAAACAUAAAACAUAAACUUUAUGAAAUAAAUCAAAACUUUGAAUCAAAACACCAAACUUUUUGUUCUUGGCAAAAAUGUCAAGAACACUGAAGAACACUCAUGAAAAACUCAAAAAAUUUCCAUGAACAUUUUUCACCCAAAAACAUCCCAAAACCAUUCAAACUUAAGGGAAAUAACAUAUAACCAAACUAGGGUACAAAGGGGUUCCAAAAGUCACUUGAAAACAUUUUUAACAAGACAAACAUGAACCCAAAAAUCCACCCUUUAGAUUUGGCCGAAUUUUCCCAAAAACAUGGCACCAAAUUUUAGCUCCAAUAUUCAUGCUCAUAUGAACUACAU